rnacentral:rRNA from 1 species
UACGAAGGGUGCUAGCGUUGUUCGGAAUUACUGGGCGUAAAGGGCGCGUAGGCGGCCAGCGCAAGUCAGUUGUGAAAUCUCCGGGCUUAACUCGGAACGGUCAACUGAUACUGCGCGGCUAGAGUGCAGAAGGGGCAACUGGAAUUCUCGGUGUAGCGGUGAAAUGCGUAGAUAUCGAGAGGAACACCUGCGGCGAAGGCGGGUUGCUGGGCUGACACUGACGCUGAUGCGCGAAAGCCAGGGGAGCGAACAGG